AGUAGUGUGCGCCACUCUGGUGCUGGGUUGAUGAUAUUGUUACAGGAGUCGAAGGAAAGGCUAAAGAGGGCAAUAGAGUAAAAACACUAUCAAAUGGAAGGAAUUGCGGAGGGGGAUGGUGGUGGCAGCGGCGGUUACUGGUGGUGGGCCGCCGCAAGCACCGUUCAGUUGGUAUGGGGCAUACACUCCUAUCGAAGAGGCUUCGCCGGGGACUCCCGUUUCAUGCCCCUCAAAGCCUUUGCCGUCGCCUCCCUCUUCGUCGGCGCCACCGCCUCCGCCACCGUCGGGACCCUUCGUGCCUCCGGCAUCCACUCGGUGGGAGAUGCUAAAGAGCUGGGUGAAAGUAUAAGGACUGAACUUGGAAUUCCCCCGAAAGCGCGUGAUGAAUAGAUAUGAUCUCAAGAUCUUUGUAAUUUUGUCGCAUCCGAGUUAUGGAAAGAUUUUGGCUUUCUCUGGCUCUUUCUUGAAAAAUCAUUAAAGCCUCUCCUCUUGAACAAAUUCUAGUUGAGACUUGAGAGAGGACACAGAGGCAAAUAAGCACAGUUUUUCCUUUUACUAGUUUAUUUUCUUUGUUGAGAAUAGAGAAAACCCGGAAAUGAUCUAUUUAUGAGAAUUGUGUUUCUAAAACAUGUCCCGCUACUGUUUUACUUUCUGUGCUAUUCAGUCAUUCUUUAGUCUUCAUGAAGUAGAAAAACGAUAUUAUGUCUGGCAAGAAGCACUUGGGUCUAGGAAUAUGAUCGUUAGCCUGGAUUCCCAAAGUAGCUCUGGAGUUGCACCAGAAGGACUAUGGCAAGACAAAUGUUCCAGAAGUCGAAGCAAAUCAAACCGUCAUUUUGUCCUUGAUGAGCAAAUUGGAUUAAGAUGCUGCAUUGUUCUUAUGAAGACCUUGAGAUUAAACACGUAAUACCAACUUUGGUAAGCAAUUUCCACCCUCCAUUUAUUAAUGUAAUGUUCUACAGUAAGUCUUACAAUCAAGAAACUGCAUGCGGUCCA